rnacentral:rRNA from 1 species
UACAGAGGUCCCAAACGUUGUUCGGAUUCACUGGGCGUAAAGCGCACGUAGGCGGCUUUGUAAGUUAGAGGUGAAAGCCCAGGGCUUAACCCUGGAAUUGCCUUUAAGACUGCAUCGCUAGAAUCGUGGAGAGGUGAGUGGAAUUCCGAGUGUAGAGGUGAAAUUCGUAGAUAUUCGGAAGAACACCAGUGGCGAAGGCGACUCACUGGACACGUAUUGACGCUGAGGUGCGAAAGCGUGGGGAGCAAACAGG